CUAUCAUUUACAUUUGAUAUAGUCUUGGGUAUGAGAGACGCUGAUACUACGAUCCUCGUUCAGGAAAUUUCCAAGAGUUAUGCAACCAACAUUGAAUUACAUGAAUAAUUUUGAAUUUGCUGAAUAAUAAUGCCACGGGUCGCGCGUAACAGGGUAGAAUAUUAUUGGAAAUAGUGAAACAGUGUGUUUCAUCUUAAACCAUGAUGCAGAGCUGCGGAAAUAAAGUAGUUUAUUUGUUUUAAUUCAUUCUCGUAUACAGUUACAUAGUUCUAAGUAGGGUGAAACUAAGUAACUUUGUUUUUGAAUAACGUGCACCGUGUCUCGCGUUACUGGAUGGUGCAUACGUGCAUUAUCGCGGUAUAUGUAUAUAUUUUCUGCGCGAAGAAGUGGGCGCAACUGGUUCACGGGCUUCGCGCGUAAAAUACUAAAGGUUAAGGUCAAUCGAUGCAUGAUAUUAUUAUGUUUCGUAAUGCAUGACAUAAGUGAGAAAUAAACCGUCCUUAACGAGUCCCAAUCUCAAGGAACUUCUCUUGCGACGAGACACUCUUUGUAAUUCUCUGAAGCAGCGGUUGAUUUAAAUGACAAACGCCAGGGAAGUGAUUAUCGAUCGAUGUUAUCCAAAGCAUGCAAUCCAAUGUGAGUGGUUUUGUAAAUCUACAAAUGUAGCUUGGCGCACACAGUCGAGAGAUUCCAACGCACCAAGAGUAUCAGGAUUUAUUUUCUCGCAAAGUAUCAGAAGACCGAGAAUGUAGGACAAGAAAGUUGAACAAGAGUCUCGACGGAACCCGACCAAAGUUAAAGAAAGCUUCAAUGGUGGUUCUUCGAAAAAGAAAAAAAAGAAAGAAACGGGCAAUGGACGAACGAAGCCCGAUAAAAAAAAAAAAAAGGCGUUUCGUUGGAAGAAACGUUGAUAAAAGAGAAGAGAAAAGAGGCAAAUUAGUCCGCAGGACAUAUCGGUUAUCGAUAAAAAUUCUGCCAAAUGAAUUACGCGGAACCUCUGCAGUAUCGUCGAUAGCCACGAUCAGGGAGCCAAAGGGACGAAGGAGAUAUGGAACGUGAAACGCGAGACGCGCUGUCGGGAGCCAAUUCGGUUAUCCCGUUGCCGGCAACGAGAUAAAUAUCAAUAUUAAUCAAGUCACGGGUGCGUAACGAUGUAAACUCGCGGUGAAUCGUUCAAAUCGCGACGGGAUUGACGGUUCUGAAAGCUGACAGGUUCACAUUGCUAUCAAGGGACUGGAUAAAAAGAUAAGCAUUCCUGUAUGUAGCCAUAGAGCAUAAAACUGAAUAGAUGCAAUAUUUUCUGAUACACUUCAACAACUAGGAAAAGAAGAAGAACAGAAGAUGUCGACAUCGAUCUCAACAGAUUAACGCAAUCCUACGGUUAGCGGAGCUUAACGAGAACUUGUUCACUUCGAUUCCGUAUAAAGGCAAGAAUCGUAAUCGAAUUUGCUCCAAACAUUGCGCAACAACGUUGUUUGCGUCAAUGACACCCCUCGUGUUACGGCAACAGUUUAUGCGCCAUGAAAAUAAAAUGGAUAACAAAAUGAUAUUUUCUA